rnacentral:rRNA from 1 species
AAUCUUCCGCACUGGACGCAAGUCUGACGGAGCAACGCCGCGUUAGUGAUGAAGGUUUUCGGAGCGUAAAACUCUGUUGUUAGGGAAGAACAAGUAUCGGAGUCACUGCCGGUACCUUGACGGUACCUGACGAGAAAGCCACGGCUAACUACGUGCCAGCAGCCGCGGUAAUACGUAGGUGGCAAGCGUUGUCCGGAUUUAGUGGGCGUAAAGCGCGCGCAGGCGGUCUUUUAAGUCUGAUGUGAAAGCCCCCGGCUCAACCGGGGAGGGUCAUUGGAAACUGGGAGACUUGAGUGCAGAAGAGAAGAGUGGAAUUCCACGUGUAGCGGUGAAAUGCGUAGAGAUGUGGAGGAACACCAGUGGCGAAGGCGACUCUUUGGUCUGUAACUGACGCUGAGGCGCGAAAGCGUGGGGAGCGAACA